rnacentral:tRNA from 1 species
CAAGGGUUAGUUUAUAAAAAUGUUGGUUUUGGGAAUCAAAGAUGGGAUUAUUUUCCUACCCUUGA